rnacentral:rRNA from 1 species
GUGGGGAAUUUUGGACAAUGGGGGCAACCCUGAUCCAGCAAUGCCGCGUGCAGGAAGAAGGCCUUCGGGUUGUAAACUGCUUUUGUACGGAACGAAACGGUCUGGGUUAAUACCCUGGGCUAAUGACGGUACCGUAAGAAUAAGCACCGGCUAACUACGUGCCAGCAGCCGCGGUAAUACGUAGGGUGCGAGCGUUAAUCGGAAUUACUGGGCGUAAAGCGUGCGCAGGCGGUUUUGUAAGAUCGAUGUGAAAUCCCCGGGCUCAACCUGGGAACUGCAUUGGUGACUGCAAGGCUGGAGUGCGGCAGAGGGGGAUGGAAUUCCGCGUGUAGCAGUGAAAUGCGUAGAUAUGCGGAGGAACACCGAUGGCGAAGGCAAUCCCCUGGGCCUGCACUGACGCUCAUGCACGAAAGCGUGGGGAGCAAACAGGAUUAGAAACCCCGGUAGUCC